rnacentral:misc_RNA from 1 species
GAUGAAGACGUAGCGAAAUGCGAUAAGUAAUGUGAAUUGCAGAAUUCAGUGAAUCAUCGAAUCUUUGAACGCACAUUGCGCCCUCUGGUAUUCCGGGGGGCAUGCCUGUUCGAGCGUCAUUAUAACCACUCAAGCUCUCGCUUGGUAUUGGGGUUCGCGGUUUCGCGGCCCCUAAAAUCAGUGGCGGUGCCUGUCGGCUCUACGCGUAGUAAUACUUCUCGCGAUUGAGUUCGAUAGGUCUACUUGCCAGUAACCCCCAAUUUUUACAGGUUGACCUCGGAUCAGGUAGGGAUACCCGCUGAACUUAAGCAUAUCAAUAAGCGGAGGA